ACUCAAAUGAAUAGACGGGGACCCGCACAAGCGGUGGAGCAUGUGGUUUAAUUCGACGCAACGCGAAGAACCUUACCAGGGCUUGACAUCCCUCGCGAUACGUGGAAACACGUAGUUCUAUCUUUCGAGAUGGACGGGGAGACAGGUGGUGCAUGGUUGUCGUCAGCUCGUGUCGUGAGAUGUUGGGUUAAGUCCCGCAACGAGCGCAACCCCUACAUUUAGUUGCCAGCAGUAAGAUGGGCACUCUAAAGGAACUGCCGGUGACAAACCGGAGGAAGGUGGGGAUGACGUCAAAUCAUCAUGCCCUUUAUGUUCUGGGCUACACACGUGCUACAAUGGCCGGUACAGAGGGAGGCGAAGGAGCGAUCCGGAGCGAAUCCCAAAAAGCCGGUCUCAGUUCGGAUUGGAGGCUGCAACUCGCCUGCAUGAAGUCGGAAUCGCUAGUAAUCGCGAGUCAGCAUAUCGCGGUGAAUACGUUCCCGGGUCUUGUACACACCGCCCGU
rnacentral:rRNA from 1 species